CAAUUCUGAUGAGUCUCACAACAGGACGAAAUGGCCGUCCAGUGG
rfam:Schistosoma rodhaini strain Burundi genome assembly, scaffold: SROB_scaffold0004487